UCGAAUCUCCUUCAUAAUCUAUUACACACUUGUGCACCAACUGUAGGUUAACUCGAAAGAGUAACACCUAUGUACUAUCUACAUCACACUACCCCAACCGUAUGUCUAUAGAAUAAAUCCAAUAAUA
rnacentral:misc_RNA from 1 species